rnacentral:tRNA from 1 species
UCGGGGAUCGUCUAAUGGUAGGACAGCGGGUUUUGGUCCCGCCAGUGGGGGUUCGAGCCCUCCUCCCCGAGCCA